rnacentral:rRNA from 1 species
AACGAACGCUGGCGGCGCGCCUAAUACAUGCAAGUCGAGCGAGAAGGUGUAGCAAUACACUUGUAAAGCGGCGAACGGGUGAGGAAUGCAUGGGUAACCUACCCUCGAGUGGGGAAUAACUAGCCGAAAGGUUAGCUAAUACCGCAUACGUUUCCGGAACUUCGGUUUCGGAAAGAAAGCAAUACCGUGGGUAUUGCGCUCCUGGAUGGGCUCAUGUCCUAUCAGCUUGUUGGUGAGGUAACGGCUCACCAAGGCUUCGACGGGUAGCUGGUCUGAGAGGACGAUCAGCUACACUGGCACUGCGACACGGGCCAGACUCCUACGGGAGGCAGCAGUAAGGAAUAUUGCGCAAUGGACGAAAGUCUGACGCAGCGACGCCGCGUGGGGGAUGAAGGUCUUCGGAUUGUAAACCCCCUUUCGGGAGGAAGAUGGAGUGGGGUAACCACUUGGACGGUACCUCCAGAAGCAGCCACGGCUAACUUCGUGCCAGCAGCCGCGGUAAU